GAAAGACACGAUAAAUCCGCAAGAAUCGCUUAAAAGAAGUCUUGAAGUUAAGGAAACGGCGAGUAGACGUCAAGAGCGACUUUUUCUAAUGUACAAUGUGUAUGAGAAGUCGUAGAAUAUUAGGUAUGCCUUUGAAAGAUCAAAACGAAAAAACAAAGGAAACAGAUUUAGAAACUUUACCUCUAACUAUAAAUUUCAAAGUAUUAAAAAGUGUUAUGGAUGAAUUAUUAUGUGACGCUGGAUGAUCCAAAAUUGGUCGGUCAGGAUCUGGUCUAAAAUGUAAAAAAAAGAAGUAUACC